CCAAUAGCGUAUAUUAAAGUUGUUGCAGUUAAAAAGCUCGUAGUUGAAUUUCGGGGUUAGUAGGUUGGUCAUGCCUCUGGUAUGUACUGGUCUCACUGAUUCCUCCUUCCUGAUGAACCUUAAUGCCAUUUAUUUGGUGUUUUGGGGAAUUUGGACUGUUACUUUGAAAAAAUUAGAGUGUUUAAAGCAAGCUAACGCUUGAAUACAUUAGCAUGGAAUAAUGAAAUAGGACGUUCGAUCCUCUUUUGUUGGUUUCUAGGAUUGACGUAAUGAUUAAUAGGGGUAGUUGGGGGCAUUAGUAUUCAAUUGUCAGAGGGGAAAUUAUUGGAUUUAUUGAAGACUAACUACUGCGAAAGCAUUUGCCAAGGAUGAUUUCAUUAAUCAAGAACGAAAGUUAGGGGAGCAAAGACGAUCAGAUACCGUCGUAGUCUUAACCAUAAACGAUGCCGACUCUUGGGAUUGGGGGACGCUGCGGUAGCAUAUUUGAUUCAUUUCAGAUAAGCUGCCUCCCGGCUCCCCCAGCACCUCCGUUAAUCAAAACACACAAG
rnacentral:misc_RNA from 1 species